rnacentral:rRNA from 1 species
AGUGAACGCUGGCGGUAGGCCUAACACAUGCAAGUCGAACGGCAGCACAGUAAGAGCUUGCUCUUACGGGUGGCGAGUGGCGGACGGGUGAGGAAUACAUCGGAAUCUACUUUUUCGUGGGGGAUAACGUAGGGAAACUUACGCUAAUACCGCAUACGACCUACGGGUGAAAGCAGGGGAUCUUCGGACCUUGCGCGAUUGAAUGAGCCGAUGUCGGAUUAGCUAGUUGGCGGGGUAACGGCCCACCAAGGCGACGAUCCGUAGCUGGUCUGAGAGGAUGAGCGGACAAAAGGGGAGAGAGACAGGGAACAGAAGAAAAAGGGAGGCAGCAGUAGGGAAUGGUAGGAAAUGGACGAAAGUUUGACAGAGCAAAGACGCGGGAGAGAAGAAGGUAUUCGGAUCGGAAAAAUCUGCUGUUAGAGAAGAAAAAGGACGGUAGGAACAGAACGGCGCCGGAAGGGAUAGAAACAGAAAGAAAAGGCUAACUACGUG